GAUAAGGUUACCAGCUCUGGCCUUUGACAGUGACAAUGGGAGGUAACAGAGAAGUGGACAACUAGUAAAGGAUCUAAACAGGAGAAAAGAUUUGAGUGCAGGAUUUGGAGACUGAACCGUCAAUACAUAUCCUUCUUCGUCUGGCAUAAAGUGAUUGGCAGAAAUCAAAAUGAACAGAGGAGGGCUGAUGAAUGAAAGACAACUCCUCUGCCAGUGAAGCUUUGCUGCAGUGGAAGGGGAAGGAAACUCCAUGAAGCUGAUGGCCCGUUAGCUGACAGCUGUGGUACCAGGCCCCUCGCUAAUGCUCUUGCUGGCCCAUUGCAGCAGCCCCUGACUUCCUCAUUGGUGGCUGGGACCAGAUUUCCUCUUGCCUGCACUGCAACCACAAGGCAACAGUGAUAUUGACAGUUCUAACUAGUGCUGUUCCAAAAAUUCCUCCCCUACACACACACACAAACAAACUGAUUUUUAUUUUUAUACCAUUCACUCACAGUUAAUGAGAAAAUAAAUUAUGUUUGGGAAGAAAGGAAGUGAAAUUCUUAUUGUUAAAGUGCAUAUUUUUGUUGCUUUCAGGUUGCCAGAGCAUGUUGGUGAGUGUUCUGCAUGCAAUCUCACCAACAGUCUGUAUUCUACACCUGCCCUCAGUGUCCACAUUUCCCCCAAAUCCCAUGCCAUCCUCCACCGGACUUCCUUGGAAGCAGGGGAAAAUGGAGAGGCUACUUUCUGUGUUCCCAGCCACUGUUAGUCCUUCUUUUGAAAAACAUGAAGUCUUUUUACUUUUAAAGAAACCAAUAUGGAUUUUUUUAAAAAAGGUAAAUGGGAUGUACUGAUCUCGGAUGCUUGGUAACCAACCUCCUAUGCUUCAGUCUGAGUUCCAGGGAAGACACUAUGUGGUUAACAUCUCUUAUGGGGCUUUUCAAAUUAGGAAGUUCAGACAGCCAGGAAGUCUUCUGAAUAGGGAUGGGAGAGAAAUGCAAUUUUUGCACGUUAAUGAGAAAAUACCAAAUUCGCACUCCUCAAAUGAAUAUUUGAACUAAGUCGGG